CCCCCCCCCCCCCCACUGCUCUGCACCUCAACGGACUCUUCUGAUUGGCUGGCUACUCCUCUCAGCGUCAGCUGACCCGCGGCCAGACAAUCAGCGCCCGUCAGGAGGGUGAAAAGUGCUGUAUUUAUAAUCUGAGCAUAGGAAUAAUCUAAAGUGUGCAUUUAAAGGGCCGGCGUCUUUAGACCUCGAGUAGCCUCGGAGAAAGGUUAAGGAAAUUAAAUAAGAACAUGAGAUCAAAUAAGAACAAAAACUAAACAGAUUCUGCCGUCUGUUUUAUUUAAUUAAUUUUUUUAAAGCUGCACAAGGCCUUGAACUUUUUUAUUUUGCUUAUUUUACUUCCGAAUCUGGCACGUAUACACAAUCCAUGUAUGCAAAACAAACAAAAGGUGACAAAAGUACUAAGAAGCAGUAAAACCACGAGUACUAUUGUACUAAUGUACUAUCUAAUGUACUAUUGUACAAUUGUACUAUUCACCCAUUAAGUACUCGUGCAGCCUGACCACCUGUACGGAUCAUAAUUACACAUUGAUGUAAUCGUAGUAUUUAAGUAUAUAAGAAUUCAUCACAAUUCACUUGAUUUGAUAGCUUUAUAUAUUAGAGUAGAAUAUGGUAUAAAGUAGUGGAAAUACUCACGCGCAAGUACAAGUACCUGUCAAAUAGUACCUCUGGGAGUAUAAAGCAUCCUUCAGGCGGAUUGUGUGUGUUUUUUAUUUUUUAUUCUUGUGCAGCUUUAAUACGGGAAAUGUAAAUUAAUUAAUCACCUCGAGGCUGACGGGCGACAUUUUGCACAACAAACACACACGAGGAACACAUUUCUUUUUUUGGGGGGGGGGGGUCCUGGGUCCUGGGUCCUGGUGAGCUUCCUGUUUCCACAAACAACCCGCCGGUCUGAGGAGACUCGAACCGCCGGCUCUGAAUGAUGCAGCAGAUGGAGCGGCUGAAAUGAGGAGAGAGGUGUACAUAGAAUCAGAAGCAGGCCGGUGUGAGGAGGAGGACACCAGGAGGCGUUUAUCAGUCAAUCAGAAGAACUCAUCGCGUUACAAAUGUUUUUAUUUUUGAACAGAAACUAUCAUAAAACGAUUUGGCCUGUUUUUCGGAGAACUGGCCCUUUAAUUCCAACACGAUGUCCGUCAGAUGACUUGUUGUUGUUGUUGUUAUUGUUGUUGGUAAAAUGCCCGCGUCCUCCGCUCCUCUCCCGGUUCUAACUGAAAGACAAUCAGCGCUAAAUAAAAACAAACAUUUCUCUCCUCAGACGAUGAAAAUAAAAACGCUUCCUGUCGUCUGAAUGUCCGUCAACACAAAAGGGAUUCAUCUUCUACUACUUUGUUUAAUAUGGAAUAUAUUCAGUAUAUAUAUACAUUUACACAUACAUAUAUAUAUAUAUAUAUAUAUGUAUAUAUAUUUAUAUAUGUAUAUAUAUACAUGUUGUUUGCCUCGUCUAUUGAUGUACAGCUCUGGGAUAAAGGAAUGUAAAAGGAUUUUUGUUUUUCUGUAAUUAUGAACUGGGGAAUAGCUUUCUUCUUCUUCUCUUUCUCUCCAUCUUCCUCCUUCUCCUCCUCUUCUCUUUCUCUCCAUCUUCCUCUUCUUCCUCCUCUUCUCUCUGACCCUGCUGCUACGCCAGCUCUCUGUUUUUGUACCUGCAGUGAGAGUUGGACUUUCUAUUAAAAACAAUAAAAAGUAAAAUCAGCUGACGUUCA